UCCGGUUUGUCACCGGCAGUCUCCCUAGAGUCCCCACCAUCACGUGCUGGCAACUAAGGACAAGGGUUGCGCUCGUUGCGCCACUUAAGGCAACACCUCACGGCACGAGCUGACGACGGCCAUGCAGCACCUGUGCGGGCUCCCGAAGGAGCACCGUGUUUCCACGGCUUUGCCCCGCAUGUCAAGCCCUGGUAAGGUUCUUCGCGUUGCGUCGAAUUAAGCCACAUGCUCCGCCGCUUGUGCGGGCCCCCGUCAAUUCCUUUGAGUUUUAGCCUUGCGGCCGUACUCCCCAGGCGGGGUGCUUAAUGCGUUAGCUUCGGCACGGAAAGAGUCGAUACUCCCCACACCUAGCACCCAUCGUUUACGGCUGGGACUAC
rnacentral:misc_RNA from 1 species